CAUAGGUUCAGGCGGAUUCAGCUCGUGCGUGUUCCCGUGAUUAUGGGAGGCGGCGCGUUCUCGCGAUGCUUGGCCGUCGCUGCUGCUGCUCCUCCCGGGAGCUGGAAGGUCCAACUGAGAUCGUAGGAUGGAGACAGUGAUGAGCGGGGUCCGUAACCCUGCAGUGUGGCACACUGUCAUUGCCAAAUGCUGCCUGACCUGCAAAGAAAUGGAGCAAAUCUGUGAAGUUGUUUCUAACUAAUUUACAAGGAGCAUAUGUCCACAAGGUUGAUCAUUGGUCAUCAUCUGUAAAAUGUACCCGAUUGAUGUUUGGCAUUGGAUUGAGGAGAAGAAAAUGAAACUAGUUGUACUUUGAUUUAAUCAAUGUUAUGAUUUGGGCAUUAAUGAACCACUUAACAGUUGCUGGAGACCAUGCCAGGAAUUGUGAUAUUCAGGCGGCGUUGGUCAGUGGGUAGUGAUGACUUGGUGCUGCCAGGAAUCUUUCUGUUUCUUAUUCACACUACAUGGUUUAUAGUGCUUGCUGUGGUUCUCUUCGGCCUAACAUACAGCCCUCAAGAACAGUGCUCUCUCAAUCUGGUUGAUCAUGGCAGGGGUUACUUGGGCAUUCUUAUUGCCUGUGUGAUAUCAGAGGCUGCUAUAAUUUGGCUUAGUAUGCGAGGAAGUAUCCUUUACACAGAGCCACGAGAUUCAAUGCAGUACAUCCUGUACAUCCGUAUGGCAAUUGUGCUAAUAGAAUUCGCAUACGCAAUCAUAGGAAUUGUCUGGUUAGUGCGGUACUACCACUCCUGUAAUGACACUACUGCAAAGAAUGUUACAUUGGGAAUUGUAACCUGCAAUUGGGUCGUUAUUCUGAGCGUUUGUAUAACUGUAAUGUGCGUCUUCGACAGAACAGGCAGAACGUUUGUGAAACUUCGGGCAACGAAACGGCGUCAACGUAACCUCAGAACUUACAAUUUACGCCAUCGUUUGGAGGAAGAACAAGCCAGUAGCUGGAGCCGGAGACUGAAAUUUUUCCUUUGUUGUACACGUACACAGGACACACAGACUGAUGCCUAUUCUGAAGUUGCUUUUCUUUUUGCUGAGUUCUUUCGAGACUUGGAUAUUGUGCCCUCCGACAUCAUUGCUGGCCUUGUAUUGUUACGUCAGAGGCAGAGGGCCAAGAGAUUUGCUGUUUUGGAUGAGGCAAACAAUGACAUUUUGGCCUUUUUAUCAGGAAUUCCAGUCACAAGAAAUACUAAGUAUCUUGACUUGAAGAAUGCACAAGAGAUGCACAUGUAUAAGGAGGUGUGCUACUACAUGCACUUUGCACUGGCUGCCUAUGGCUGGCCCUUGUACCUAAUGCGAAACCCAACCUGUGGACUUUGCAAGCUGGCUAGCUCAUGCUCGUGUUGCUGCUUUUGCCUCACUCGACCCAGAUAUGCUCCAAGUGUGACGGUUGAGGAAGACAACUGUUGCAACUGCAAUGUCAUUGCUAUCAAGCGCCACUUUCUGGAUGAGAAUUUUUGUUUAGUUGAUAUCGUAUAUACUUCAUGUCACGAUGCGGUUUUUGAAACCCCUUUCUUUGUUGCUGUGGAUCAUAUGAAAAAGAAGGUUGUGAUCAGUAUUCGAGGGACCCUUUCACCAAAGGAUGCCCUAACUGAUCUGACUGGAGAUGCUGAACGAUUACCAGUAGAGGGCCAUCAUGGUACUUGGCUUGGCCACAAGGGCAUGGUUCUAUCCGCAGAAUACAUCAAAAAGAAGCUAGAGCAGGAGAUGAUUCUUUCUCAAGCUUUUGGCCGAGACCUGGUAAAAGGGACCAAACAUUACGGAUUAGUUGUGGUUGGACAUUCCUUAGGAGCUGGAACUGCAGCCAUUCUUUCUUUCUUGCUCAGACCUCAGUACCCUACACUACAUUGUUAUGCUUACUCUCCACCUGGAGGACUUCUUAGCUCCGAUGCUAUGGAAUACUCCAAGGAGUUUGUGACAUCUGUCAUUCUUGGCAAGGAUCUGGUACCAAGACUUGGUUUGUCGCAGCUAGAGGUCUUUCGUAGACACUUACUUGAAGUGUUGCAGAAGAGCAAUAAACCAAAGUGGAGAAUAAUCAUGGGCGGUACUAAAUGUAUUCCUAAAUCUGAACUGCCAGAUGAUGAGGAAGUGCCUAACAUUCAGAGUAACAGGCAAUGGACCUACCCCAGUGACCUUACUAUCGCUCUUUCUGCUAGUGUGCCACUCUACCCACCAGGUCGGAUUAUACACGUCGUACACAACCAUCCUGAGGAAAAGUGUUGCUGUGGACAGGAAGAGUCAACUUACUAUGCUAUUUGGAGUGACAACAAGACUUUGGAUGAGGUCAUCAUCUCUGCUGCCAUGCUGAAUGAGCACAUGCCUCAUGUUGUAAUGGAUGGAUUACACAAGGUGUUGGAGAAUUACAACAAAGGAAAGACUGCUUUGUUAGGAGCCGCAAAGGUCAUGGUCAGCCCAACAGAGGUGGAUUUGAAUCCUGACAUGAUUGUUCAGCAGCAGCCUCAAGCAACAAAGCAUGGAGAUCAAAGGAAGAAUGCCAGUAUAAAGAGUAAGACAAAAUCUGAACUGAGUUUUGAAGAUCUUUAUCAGACAAAACAGAAGCCGUGCCAAAAGGACUCUGUUGAGUUGCUUCUAAUGAACACUAAGGAGAGGCUGGUAACUGAAAUAGAGGAGCGUAGGGCUCCUCUUGCCACAGUGGAAAGUCUGUCUGACAACGAGUCUAUCUACAGUUUUGAUUCCCGCCGCUCCUCUGGAUUUCGCAGUAUAAGGGGUUCUCCAAGUCUGCAUGUCGUAAUGGAGAAAGAUGAGUCACAUUGUUUCUACAUUGAUCCAGCAAUUCCAGAGGAGAAUCCUUCCCUGAGCUCCCGGACUGAGUUACUGGCUGCAGACAGUUUAUCUAAGCAUUCUCAGGAGGUGCAACCACUCGAACCACUACAGAACAGCUGUUAUUCUUUGCCUAGUCCCCUGCAAGCGGACCUUGGUGAGCAGGAGAACAAACAGGCUGCAGAGGUGGAAACAGAUAGCUUUUCAGAUAAGUUGCCAAUAGAAGACAGUAAAGAAUGGACAGAGAGCCUGCGAGACGUGCCAAGUCCACAAGUUCUUGAAUUUGCUGAGUUUAUAGACAGCCUUUUCAAUCUGGAUGGAAAAAGCAGCUCCUUCCAAGACAUUUAUCAUUUGGUACUUGAUGAUAGUUUAGAAGAAUAUAAUGAAAUUCCCAAGUCAGUAAGUGAGCAUGAGAUCCUGAUGCGAGCACAGUUUGAACCCAAUUUAGUGCCAAAACCGCCCCGUUUGUUUGUUGGAUCAGCAGAUGCUGGGACCUCAUCUGGGAUUUCGGUGUCUCCAUCCUUUCCAUUCAGUUCAUCGGGUGAACUGAUGGACAUUACUCCAACCUGCAUAAGCAGUCAGGAGUGCCUGACUAUGGAUACAAAGUUGAGAACUUCAACUCCAACAGACCACCAACCCAACUCUAAUAAAUCUGCAGAUGUUAUCAUUUCAGCUCUUUAGAACCUCUGUAAAGAACGUAAUUAAUAUGCUGACUUUGAAGUGGUUUUUGCUUCAAAGAGCAGAACUGUGAAACUCAGAAGGUGGGAGAAAACCACUUGAGCCCUUUAUUGAAAUCAGGCAGUCUUACAUUAAUCUCUUGAUUUUUAUGUGGGUAUUGAACAAGGUGAAUAAGAUGACUAGCAGUUGGUUGACAGUUGAUUGAUAAGAGGCAGAGUAUUACAUUCCCUAAAGAGUAUUGUUCUCUUUUUGAGAUUGUUGGGAAUUUUUUUUAUAAUGGAAUUUCAAAGCGUCCAGAUUUGAAUAUAGGUUUCACCCACUGCAUACAUCAACUUGAUCCUUUUAUUGAUAUGUGGCAUUAGUACAAAUCUCACCAGUAGUAGGAACCAAGGGAUUACAGCACAGAAUCACUCAUAAAGACAUUUCAACUCUCUUCACCAUUGUAUUUCCAGCUUUGUUGGGGAUAAGUAGAAAACUGAAUGCCAGAAAUCUGAAAUAUAAACAGAAAUAAAAGUGGUUCAGUCAAAAUUUGAAAGAGAAAAGUCAAGUUUAUUUUGCAGCUGACAGGCUCGGAGGUGGACAUUCCAGCAAAUUCAUGUGGCAGUGUCUUAUGCCCCUUUCCCAACAUAGCCCUGUGCUCCAGUAAUUUUGCUGAAAGCAUUUCCUGAAGUAGUGACAACCUGCCAGAAAAUGGUGCAAGAGACAGUUGACAAGUCUUGAGAGCUUGUUAUAGAGAUGUUUGAGAUGAUGAAGGUGAGACACAAGAAACACAGCAUUUCCAUGGAGUUGAGGUAGCUGCACAGUGGGGAGCCAGUCUUACAGUGUGCAAAUGGUGAACAGAACAAUGAACAGAACAGUGAAGAGCUCAUGUGCUGACACUCAGUGGUCGCUGUUUUGAGCAGAGCUUGCGAAAUGUUUCAUGGCAAGAUGCUGAGGCAGUCGUGGGGAUGUCAGUGAGUAAAGCAAACGGAUCAAGGCAGUAUUCUGUGCAAUUGAUAACAGGUGAGGCUAAGCAUGCGGCUCAGCCACUGUGAGGUGGCAAUAGGUUUUGAUGAGGAGACACUUUGCCAGGAGCACAUAGAGUUCCUAGCUGCAGUGGGAUGCAGAAAUGAUGCUGAAUGGCAGGGAGAACAUAAAGAUGCUGUACUCACCAUAGGAAUCAAUUUCGUCAACAUGGCAAAGAGCAUUUCUGCUCGAGGCUACAUAUAUUAAAACAUUAUAUUCAGUAAUGUAUGCACACUCAUGGUGAAAGAAUUUGUGCACCACUGGUUGAGUGAGCAUACCUUUCCCAUAGGCAGUACCAAUAGUGCUGAGUUUCAUUGCCACUAGGUCAUUCACAUGUAUAGCAUUUCACAAGGUGCUAUCUAUCAUAGCAAGUGUUGGGUGCCCUCUGAGAGAGCAUUGGAAUACGCUGAGUUCUGGACUGAUGUAGCAAAACUGAUGAGACCACUCAGGCACAGAGUGCGAUGGGCAUGAUGUCUUCAUGUUCAUGGUGUGAUUAACUGCACCAAUGUGACAAUCAAGAUUGCAGCAAUGCAGCCAGUGUCAUUUAUAGAAAGUAUGCAAUUUAACUCCUUCAGUGUGCGGCUUAUAUGAAACAACUGCAAGCAUUUUCUGCAGGUGUGUGAAAGAUUUCUUGGCAGUUGCAAAGCUGUAUUCUUCCUCAGUCAAUAAGACCAUAAGACACAGGAACAGAAGUAGGCCAAUCAAUCCAUUACUCUGCAAUUCAGUGAGAUCAUGGUAGAUCUGAGUCUUCAGUUGCAUUUUUCUGCUUUUCCCCAGAGCCCUUGAUUUCCUAACGAAUUAAAAAUCUAUAUAUCUCAGCCUCUAAUGUUCUUAAUGACCCAGCCUCAGUAGCCCUCUGUGGUAAUGAAUUCCAUAAAUUCACUACUUUCUGAGAGAAGACGUUCCUCCUCUUCUGUAUCUUAAAUGUCCAAACCCUUAUUCUGAGACAAUGCGUCUAGUCCUGGAAAAUAAUCUUUCUGCAUCUGUCUUGUCCAAGAAUCUUGGCAGCAGGUGCUCAUGCCACCAGAGACUAGAUGGAUGGCUAUCAUUUGAAGGAGGGUUCUUGACACCUAUGUAUAAUCCUACAAUGGAGGCACAGAGUUGCUACACCUCUUGCAUUUUAAUACGAGGUCUCCAUAGAGCAAGCUGUUGGACUCCUGACAAUGUGGUUCUGGUGCCUUAACUGAUCAAGGGUGGACAGGAUGUGGCAUUUCCUCCUGUAAACUCCUUGCAUGAUGGUAUUGAGAAAUGUUGACCCUGUGAAUGGAGAUGUAGAGGAGUGCCCCAUGUCUUUAGAGGAGGAGUGCCCAUGUCUUCAGAAGAAGAGGAAGAUGUGAUGUAACAUGGCAAUCCUGUUCUGCAAGGCUUUAUGGACAUGCAGCUGAGCUGUUGAACCAGUUUACUGAGAUGGUGAAAGAGCCCAGAUCAAUCGAUUCCAGAUAUGAUCCUUGUGAGGAAGGCUCAUUUUAGCUGGUAUUCAUACCACAUACAAUGAACUGCCAUGAACAAAUUGCCUGAUGGGCAGAGUUGUCUCCUAUAUCUCCAUAAUAAUGUCUGGAAGACAUGUUACCAUCAGCAGAAACUCCCCACCUUUGUGCCACAUGUCUACUACUUCAUGUUGCCGUAAUGUUCUCAAACCAGAGGGUCAUGGAAUUCAUAGUGUUGGCAUAAAACAUUUCAUUAAAUUGUGGGUCAAUCAGUGAACAGAAGAAUUAAGAAAAACCACAAUGUUUUGGUCUCACCUUUAGGUGGCCUCUCCUAUAAAGUGCACUCCCUCUACCCUCAGUAGACUUGAAGAUGGAGACAAACUGAUUUCUUUUCUCUGCAUGAAGCUGAGGUGUCCGUGGCGCACCUGCUCAGAGAUUUGACACUGCUCCUGCUGAUCUAUCUGCAAAGGUCAAGAAUAACCAAGGUUUAUGAGCAUUGGCUAUUUUGGUGGUGUCCCAGGGGAGCAAAAGGAAUGGCCAGUGCCAGAGUCAAGAGCUGGAUGCUUGAGACUGUGGUGUGUCUCAUUCAUGUGUGAUAUCCAUAACUACACUGUUGCCUUCUCCACAGAUUGUUGUGGUGUGGUUGUACAUAGCUCUGGAGUGAACCAGAGAAAUAUUCUCCAUUGUCCCCGAGCAUUAUGCAUCGUCAGGUUGUUCUGCUUGUGGGUAUGCUCGUGAUCAACUGCAGAAUUGGAGGCCUCUGUCCUGAAUGUAGCAUUGCACUCAGAUUGCCAGAUCUCAAAAGGAAUUUGAAGUGUUGCACACAAUGUACUGGCCAUGACGUGAGGCAGCUCCAUCUGUGCCUGUUUUGUCUGACUGGCUAGCAUCCUGUCAAUCUCCAGAAACCAAACACUUCCCUGGUAGGCACCAUCUCUAACAGGGCAUUCAGGAAAUUAUUGACACAUCAAGGGGGUCACCCUUCUAUGGGUACAUACCAUGCCGACACACAGGUGUAUUCCAACCUCUGCCAGCACCCUCAAGUUUGUCCAGUCUCUGCCAAGCAUGUCCCACAGAACUUGCCAGUUGGACAGUAAUUAGCUACUUCCUUCAAAAUUGCAUUGAACUUUUGCAGAGAUAUGUCCUAGAAAGGACCAAAGUUGGAAUACCAUCCCAGGAAUGAAAAUUCAAUGCAGUACUUCAGGUGGGGUUCCUUAUAAUAAGCAGCUUCUUGAUUUCAAAUAAAGGGACUAUGUUCAAAUCAUUAAAGUCUUGUCUCAUUCAAAUACUGACAGACCUCAUAUCUAUUUCUAACAUUUUCUGUUUUUAUUUACAAUUCUUUUCAAACGCACCAUGUAGGACAACUGCCUCAGGUGUAAGAAGAAAAUGUUGGAAAUAAAUUAAUUUUGCACAAUAUUUUUAUGAGAUGAAGGUAUUCUGGAGAAAAUCAUGUUACAUGUUUUAAUGUUUGUUGCACUAUGUAACUUAUGAAGAAUUCUCAUAUUUGCCACGUUUUGUUUUUGAGUAGAAUUUUGCCUGAAAUUGAAUAUUCUCCCACUCUGCAGUUAAAUUGGAAUGCUCUAUGACUCUUUCUGUUUACAACAGGCAAUGCAAACAGAGAGCAAAUUACUUAUAAUCAAAACAGAUAAAUUACUUGCAAAAUGGAGCAGAAUAAAUGGUGAUGGAUAACUAAGGGAACUGGGAAUAGAAACUGAAUCCUGAAAUGUUGAGACAUUUUACUCCCAAAAUUAUUGUUGGGUGACUUGAAUUAUGCCAAUGGGAUUUGAUUGUUAACCUACGGAAUCCUGCUAAUUCUGUUACCAUUUCAUCUCUUCUGGUGGUCUUUCCUAAUUCUGAGCUACUCUGACUUUUUCACUGCUCUUUGCAAUUAAGUGCUUAGCCAGGUUGCUACUGUAUGCACUGAUGUGUGAACACAGUUGCAUUUUUAAAAAUGUGUGCAGUGCUUUAGAAUGGGAUUUUUGGUGUCUGCACAUUUUAACAACAAUGAUGAAUUUCAGGUGUGGUGGCAGGUGAGCAGUUGACUAUUAUCUGAUAAAAACCUUAAAUUUCAGAAAAUACAUUGUCCUCUUUUCUUUGGUUCAUCCUGGCAGUACUUCAGAAUAGCCUGUUUAAGGUAAGGAUACACUCAACCAGUGUAGCCACUAUAUUCCAAAACAAUACUUCUAAAAGAUUUUCUUUUGCUGAAUGGUGUCUUUAAAUUCUGAACAAUUUAUUUGUUGCAGGAUCCCAUCACUAAAUGUUUUUCCAUGCAGCAAACAUAAAACAAUGGGCUUAAUUCCAACAGAGGCACAACCUCGACCAUUAUAUUUAUGUGACUGAAAGGAUUGACAUUUCAUUACAGCUGCACAAUUGAGUGUCAGCAUAACUUGUUCCUCCCAUUAACUUGUGCUCUGUUGCUGCAAUUAAGUUGUAAGAAUGUGAACAUCUCCUGAGUAAAGGCCACUUAUAGCUGUUGCUUUUCCACCAACAAUCCUACAAAAGUAAACAUCAAAUGGAAUUCAGAUUUAAAAAUUAAAGGUAACUGUAAUAUUUUGAAUAUUUUGGAGACUUGAGUAAAUAACUAUAAAUAGCAUUUCAACUGGGCAGGCCCAGUUCCCAAUGGAUAUGAAUCAGCUUCACAAAACAUUCCCCUAAUUCAGGGAUAGUCUGCUCCAAACUAAUCACUUCAGUCAGCGGCUACACAAUGAUGAAAUGGCAAAAUGGAAAACCAUUAACAUUUGUGUAGAAGAUGGGCUUUCCUCAGGUUGAUGUAAAAUUAUAUUUCUGAGAGGCAACAGCGGGAACUUUAGUCUGCAUCUAAUCUUACUGUACCUGACCAGCAGGUCUGAAAUUAGAAAUUGUUUUACUCAACAAGACAAGUAACCCUUCUUCUGAUGUGUGCAAAAUUUGAAGCAAGGAAUUGGCAGUGAUAUGUGAUAGGUAUCUAUGUCUGCUCAUUUUUGCAUAUGCAAGAGUUUAAAGCAAAUACGGGCCUAAUGAAAAAGAUCCUAUCUUUAACUGAACAGUUAUUGUAUGUAUAUAUUUGUAAUUAGGAAACACUACAUUAGGUAAGUAGUGAGCUUAACAGUAUCUUUCUAGACUAUGGUUUACUAGAAAUCCAAUGUCAACCUUUCGUUCUGGUUCACAAACCAUGGAUAUAUGAAGGAACAGCAGCCAUCUCCUGCACUAAUCUAUUUAAAUAUACUGUGAUUGUAUAUAGAGCAACACUGCACAGUCUUAGCAACAUAAUAAUCUAGAACACAAUUGAACUGAGGUUAUAGAAAAUAGUAUUGGGAACUUCUGGAAUUUGCCAUCUUAUUAUAAAGUAGGAAAAGUUUAUUGAGAACAUAUUGUGCAUCUGCAAAACAAUUUACUUAUUUAAUUGUUUACUGAAUAAUAGAUGUGCAUUGUCUUUGUAUUAUAGUAAUAAGGAAGCAACAAGUAUGGAUUUUUUUGAUCAUAACCUCUUUGGUAACGAACAUUUUAUGCCACUGCAAGUAGCAUUUUUAUGUUCUAAGAAGUAUCAAGUAUAGGUUCGUUAUCCUGCCCAGAUUUAUUGAUGCUGCUUGCUGAUAAUUAACAGAUUGCAAAAUCGUUUUUGCUGUUGUGUGCAUAGUUGCAUUAAUGUGGCUGACAAAAUUAUCUUAACUGUUUACCCUCAAAAAUAAGUUGUUAGAUUUUGCUGCUGCUGCUAUACAUUUACCUACGUACGCAGUUUUACAAAGAAAAUGGUGAAAUAUAUCUACCAGCAGAAUAGUAGGUGGUGUUCAGUAGCAGUACUUCCUGUAGCAUGUCCCUGAGCCAAGCAUGAGUCUGCACUCCAAGUGUUGAGAAGUUUAGAAUUAGUUGAAAAGUGUGAAUUAUAUUUCUCUUUACCUACAGUUAGUCUAAACAGGUUAAGAAGACAUGAGACCUCCCAAUUCACCACCACCUCAUUAGCUUUAUUUCAGGACAAAUGCUUUGACUCCGCACUUAUCAACACGCAGAUCAGCACUACUUUGCCAUUGAGGAACGUAUCAAAUGGGAUACCCAGGUUUCUGUCAGUUUUUCCAGACUCCCACUUUGCAAAUUCUUCCAUCUAUUUGUAGCAUUGUAGUACAUUAACUGAGAAGUAAAGCAUUUCUUACAACUAAAGAUAUAUCCUAGCAGCUCAGAGACGUAGGAUUUUUCAACUGUGCAUGAAACAUCUUCACACCAAGAAUUUACAACCAAAGAUGUGGCUGUAAAGUCAGUUUACUUUAUUUGCUCUUUAAUCCUGGAAUUCUAUUGUUUGAAAAAGAAAUUUAAGAUAUGGCUUUGUCAUUGUGAUCAAUUUAGCAUGAAUAUCUGCUUUAGAACUGGCAGCAGAAGUUGUAUUUAUACAUUUAACCAACCAGUAUCAAGUAACCAGUUAUUUUACAGUUAGGAAAGAAUGAUAAUAUAUCAUUUAAAUGUUUAAAAAUAGAUUAUUAAAAGUUUCCAUUCAUCGUACUAUAGCUGUUCUGUAAUACGUAGUCUCCUUCCAUGGUUUCAAACUCUUGCUGAUGUUCAACAUGUAUAGUCAAAAGUUUUCCAUUUUACUUUUUUAACAACCUAUUCAGUGCCAAAACUGACAAUUUUUUAUGGUGGACAUUUCUCUAAUCUUCUAUAUAGAUGCUCAACCCUUAGGUAACAUUGGAGCAGUGUUGUUAUUUAUAGCACGUAUAAGUCCAUUUCUUAACUUUAUUGUUGUUUGGACUAGUGUGUGUUUUAUAAUUUGUCAUCUCUUAGUUGCUUUUUAAUAAAAUGCGCAGUUUAUGAAGAUAUAAAUAAUGGUUGAAACACUGCGUUAAGGUUGAAGUUGUGAGGGUACAGGGAACUUCUGCUGAGCUUGGCGCAGCAAACUAUUGCUGAACUUGGCACAGGGGAAUGUUGCUGAGCUUGUUACACAUUUUUAUCUGGGAACAUUCUUUGGGCAUAACUUAUGUUCUCCGUCAUGCAAUACCUUAAUCUUUUAUUAUUAUGUAAUAUUCUAUACUUUGAGGUGUAUUUGCUUUUAUGGAAAUCGCCCUGAGAUUUAACUGCUGGUUUCAGAGCUUCUCUGUUCCAACAGUGACAUCUAUUAAUGUGUAACUUAUCCUUCGAUUAGAAGUGUAAGAUCGCAUACAUUAUAUGAAGAUAUACUGUGUAUCUUGUUUUCAGUUCCAGUUCAAUAUAUUUGCAUUGAACCAAGGCCUGCAUCCAUUCAAACAGGCUGCAAAAUCUAAUUGCACUGAGAAAAUCAUCUCACAUGUCAAUAUUUCCCAUUGGAAUCCUUAGCUUUCAGAAAUAUAUAAAGGUUACAGCUUGCUCAUGGCCUUUCAAUCAUUGAAAUGGUAAAAAAUUGUGGGAAGCUGGUGCCAAUCUUUCCAAUGUUCUUCCAGUGGCCCAGGCUGUUUACUAGUCACGUAGAUUUAUAAAUGUUGGCCCUUAGAAAAUUUCACAUGGUACAAUGUAAGGAGUAAUUCUAACUAGGCUGACACCAUGACUCUCUAGCAUCCUGUUAAUGCGGUCUUAUAACUAUUAUACUUUCACCAUGGCUAAUCCAAUGGCUAGUUCAAAUUGGACUGUUAAGCAACAUUGCAUUCAGAAUAACACCAUAAAUGUUUAAAAAUUAAUUUUGAUGUCACGAUUGCACAGUACAGUAAAUAAUCCUUUAAAUCAGGGGAAUCAAAGAAAUAAGUUUUAAGCUGCCAUUCCCUUGGGGUAAAGAUCAUGCAAAGCUUUAAAAAGCUGUAGAAAAUUGCUUUCAAAUAGGAACGUUAGAGAGUACUACACACAUUGUUUGUUUUUGAAGGAGAUUAUAUUAAAAAUAAUCACAGAUCGUUUCUGAAGGAGAUUAUAAUAAAAAUAGGUUAAUUUGCGACAGUUACAAACUGAACUCCUACUUGAAUAAUCUAUAAGAUUAAAGAUCUGAAGACCAAUAACAUUCUUAUUACCACUGUUAUCAUAAAUUAAUCCUUAGCGCACUGUUCGGACGUCCGUUGGGAAACAAAAUUUUGUUAACAUUCAAGUAAUAUUCAGUUGGCUGCCAAUGCUUUGCAAGGAAAUAUUUGUUUAAUACAAUAGGUAAGUAAGCUUUGAUAAUGCAGUAUGUUGACGUUCCUGAGAAUGGUAGGUCACACUGUGAGAUUUGAUAUGUGACAAGAUUCUCUCAUCAACCAUCCCACUGUGAAAAAUUUGGGCUGGAAAUAGGUCAUUGAAGGAGUUUCAAGGAAAUUAUUUUUCUGUUAGUUGGAAGGAUAUUUUGUUACUGAAUUCACUUAUACUUGCUUUUGUUAGCUUUCCUGGCAGCAUCCGCAGACGGUUGAUGAGAUAGUUUUAUUAGUUGUCCCAUCAGCUGAAGAAAGUAGAGGCCUUAGAAAUGACUGAACCUCAACUCACAGAGCCAGUCAAAAUGGCUUUUAUUUUGGUUGAAGCUUUGACCUAUGAGCUAUUUGCUUCCCAGUAUGCGUAAUAAGGAGCUAUUAAUGUAGUUAGGUUUUAAGCUUUCAUAGUGAGAUGCUUCACUUGACCAUUUGUUGACAAUGCAUUUACGUCAAGACAAUCAAGACAAAGAUACAGCCAAAGACUGUUAAGAUCACUGAUUUGAGCCUUCAUUAUGCAUGUAAUUUGCCUUUAUAAUUAACUGUUAAACCCAAUAUAAAAUUUGUGUCUUACUAUGAUCUUGUUACUUUUAAUGCAAUGUGCCUUAAUGUUCAUAAUUCUUUUAUGUGGCGCCUUACAGGGUUUUGGGAGGGGAUAAAGCAGCUCGGCUUUCCAGGUCGAAUUAAUAUUCAGCUAUGUGCAAUAUGAAAACAACAAAUCAUAGCAGAACUAGGUUUAAUUUUCGAAACAUUACCCCCGUCAAGAAUCCAGAUAUUACUUAUUACAAUAGACUCAUAAGUGGAUGAGUCAAGGCUGAAAAGGUGGCCAUUCUCCCAACAUGAGUAAGUCAUUAGAACUGACGAGAAAUUUGAGGGCAAAAUUAUAUCUGGAACUUGCUGGCAUUGUCAAACUGUCAUAAUGCACUUCCAAAACUAUUACUCUAAAUAAUAUAACAUACAUGAGUGGGAACUUUAUAGCCUUAACAUCACACAGAUGGAAAGCUGCAUUAUGAAAAUAACAAAAUAGUUGAGAAUGAGCCAUGAGCAGUUGGAAACUACUUUGUUCCACUGUUUAACUAAAAGAAAAUUAUUUUCCAGCAGUUUCAGAAGAUGGAGCAGGUCAGUUACUAAUUAAAGCAAUUGACCAAGUAAAAGAUCAACCAUAGUCCUCAAGUAUUCAUCUGAAAUCUGCUUUUUUUGUAAACUUAAUGCAAGAUAGGCAGGUUUUAUAAUCUGAAUAUAUUUUCAUUUUUCUUUCAAUGAUUAAAUUAACAAACCCAGUAGAUUUCUUACUUAAUAUUGCAUCUUUGUGCCACCUUCUAAUUUGAAUGCAGCAGUUGAAGAAAAUAGCAAUUUUUGAAAAUAAGCCAUAAUUUGCUGCUGUGGCAAAGGCUUUUAAAUUUCAACUGCCGAUAUAUAUAUAUAAAGUCUUAAAAACAUUUUUAGGGCACCUUCCUGAAUUGUACCAUUAUAAAUUCAUAUUGAGGGGAAAAGAGAACAUCGAGAAAUUGAUAAACAGGGCAAGCAACUAUGUGUUACUAUUACUCAUCAAAGUGAAGGUUUGUGAAUUAUAUGUGAAUUGUUCCUGAAAAGUAAGUAUAAGGUCAAGUAUCAAAUGUAUUGCAGGAAGAGUAAUAAAGUGAGUGAAAGAAGGGGAAACAUUUCCUAAACUUUACAUUGAUUUUUAAAAACCUCCAACAGCAAUUAGCAUUUAUUGGAUUGGGCUGAAGUGCGUAAAUCAAAAUAAUUUUUGAAUUCAGUUCACAACUUCUUCUGGUCAUCUGUGUUUCGUGAGAUUCCAUUUUGGUUAACCUAAUGGCCAAGUUGCACAUCCUAGGAGCAAACUUUGGGAUUUUUAUGUAUAACCACAUAGCUGUUCUAAAGCAUGUGUGCUUAAGUAAGACCAAGUCUCAUUGUUAAUUUAACAGCAGGUUAUGAGCCAUUAUGUUUUAGGCUGAAGUUUAAUGAAAUUUAAUGCAGAUGUUGGAUACAGAUGAUUUGAACCUCUUUUUUUAAACACAACACUCAAUUUUUAUCAUUCAUGCUUAAUUAAAGAACAUUGUAAGUUUCUCAAACCCAGUUGGACUUUGAAUUCUCUGAACAUCAGAGCUGCUUAAGUAAAUAUCAUUGUUAUGCUGUAAUUUGCCACAUUUCAAGACAAAAUAGUAACUCCAGCAUAUUCUGCAUCUAUAGGAAAAUUUGUCAAAUAAUGUAGUUUUGUAUUUGAGCUAAUCUUAGUGAUAACAAAAAUUUUAGUUAUCAUUUACAUUAAUGUUAUACAUUAAUCUCUAGCACUGCUGUCUCACGGUGCCAGGGACCCAGGUUCGGUUUCACCCUCUGACAAAUAAUCUGUGUGGAGUUUGCACAUUCUCCGUGUCUAUGGAGUUUCCUCCAGGCAUUUUGUUUCCUCCCAUAAUCCAGAGAUGUGCAGAUUAGGUGGAUUGGCCAUGCUAAAUUGCACACAGUACCCAGGGAUAUGUAGGUUAGGAGGAUUAGCUAUGGGAAAUGUAGGAUUACAGGGAAUAAGGUUGGGCUUGAGGGGUUGGGGAAUGGAUCUGGGUAGGAUGCUGUUUGGAGGGUUCAUGUGAACUCGAGGGCCAAAUGGCCUGCUUCCACAUUGUAGGGAUCAUAUGAUCUUUGAUUACGUGCUACAUAUAGGUGUAAAGCCAGUUUUGUUACCUGAAUUCACAGGGCCUGAAGUAAUUUUCUUGUGAUCUUUGUCAUGUAGCUUGAAGUUGACCACAUAUAUUACAUUUUAUAAAAAGGCUGCAGAUGGUUCUCUGAUAUCAAGGGUCUUGAAAUAUUUUGUUUUGCAAGCAUGCUUAAGUAUGUUAUUGUUCCUGUGUGCUUGUCACAGAUAUGUAUUUUUGCUGCCAUUCUUGAAACACAUGCCUACAUCAUCUCUUCAGUGCAGUCAUCUUCCCCUCUUCCUUUUAACUGCAACCACCAUAAUAUGACCUGGUUUUUAUUGGGAAGAAAACUUGCAAAAGGAUGUAGUCUUGGUACAUAUUUUCAGUUUAUUUCAAUGCGCAGUAUCCCUGUUGAUGAAUUAUGAUUUAAAAUGGGAAUUUCAGAUUUUAGUCAAUUGUAUUUCCACCGUAUUUAUUUUAUGUUUUUUUUAAAAGUUCUCAAAUGGUGAAAACAUGUUGUAAACAAAUUAAUGCUUACAGGAACAAUGAAAUAAAUAAUGUGGGUUUUAUUUUAAAUUCUGCCUGUUUACUAUUGAGAAAAGGGAAUUCUUUAACCUACUUGAAAUAAUGUAUUUGAGAUCGCAGUCAAGCAGUGUGUGAAAGUUCUGUUGGAAUAGGUCAUCUGUGCUUCGGUUUAGUGCCAAUUAUUUGCAAUUUUUUAUUCUGACUCUUGGAUAUGUGCUGAUGGAUUCAGAUAAACUGCACCAUUGUACCUGCAAAAACUACUGAUUGUGUAAUUUGCUGUGUUUUUGAUGUGUGUAAAAUGUGAAUGUCAGAUUUCCAUGAUGAAAAUAGACCUUUAUUCAUAUUCAUAUAAAAAAGAAAAUCCAGAUGAUUAUAGCUAAACUAACUAGACUUUUAAAAAUCCUCUAGGGCAACAUAUUGCAGAUAAUUGACCAUGUAAUAAUAUGUUUAAUGGUUCUCAGUUUUUAGCACUUUGUAAUAACAAUUUUAUCCUGUAUAGACAUUUACCUCAUUAAACAAAGAAAAAUAAAC